rnacentral:rRNA from 1 species
ACGAACGCUGGCGGCGUGCUUAACACAUGCAAGUCGAACGGAAAGGCCCCUUUGGGGGUACUCGAGUGGCGAACGGGUGAGUAACACGUGAGUAACCUGCCCUUGACUUCGGGAUAACUUCAGGAAACUGGGGCUAAUACCGGAUAGGAAUCCUUGCUGCAUGGUGGGGGUUGGAAAGCUUCGGCGGUUUUGGAUGGACUCGCGGCUUAUCAGCUUGUUGGUGGGGUAGUGGCUUACCAAGGCUUUGACGGGUAGCCGGCCUGAGAGGGCGACCGGCCACAUUGGGACUGAGAUGCGGCCCAGACUCCUACGGGAGGCAGCAGUGGGGAAUAUUGCACAAUGGGCGGAAGCCUGAUGCAGCAACGCCGCGUGCGGGAUGACGGCCUUCGGGUUGUAAACCGCUUUCAGCAGGGGCGAAGCUUGUGGUGACGGUACCUGCAGAAGAAGCACCGGCUAACUACGUG